rnacentral:rRNA from 1 species
UACGUAGGUGGCAAGCGUUGUCCGGAAUUAUUGGGCGUAAAGCGCGCGCAGGCGGCCUCUUAAGUCUGAUGUGAAAGCCCCCGGCUCAACCGGGGAGGGCCAUUGGAAACUGGGAGGCUUGAGUAUAGGAGAGAAGAGUGGAAUUCCACGUGUAGCGGUGAAAUGCGUAGAGAUGAUGGAGGAACACCAGUGGCGAAGGCGACUC